CAGUCGCCACGGUAAUACGAAGGUCCCGAGCGUUGUUCGGAAUCACUGGGCGUAAAGGGAGCGUAGGCGGCGUGGUAAGUCAGAUGUGAAAUCCCGGGGCUCAACCCCGGAACUGCAUCCGAUACUGCCAUGCUAGAGGAUUGGAGAGGUAGCUGGAAUUCUUGGUGUAGCAGUGAAAUGCGUGGAGAUCAAGAGGAACACUCGUGGCGAAAGCGAGCUACUGGACAAUAACUGACGCUGAGGCUCGAAGGCCAGGGUAGCGAAAGGGAUUAGAUACCCCCGUAGUCCCUGUCUCUUAUAC
rnacentral:rRNA from 1 species